CUUGCUAUGUUGCCCAAGAUGGUCUCAAACUCUUGAACUCAAAUGAUUCUGUCACCUGGGCCUCCCAAAGUGCUAGGAUUAUAGGUGUGAGUCACUGUGCCUGUCCUGGUAAUAACAGUUUUAAGACCAGCCUCUUAAAAUGAAAGUUAUUGUGGCAACUUUUAAAAUAUGGGUUGAAAAGAGAGGAAACCGGGGAUAACAUCAUAAAUAGAUUAUUAUAGUAUCCCUGGUGAAAGAAAAAAUGAAGGCCUGAAGGCAGCGAAGGCAAAGACAAACUUGAUAUCUAAUGGAAUAUGGGUAAGUAACCGUAUAAGUUAUCAGCCAAAAUGGAACACAUUUAAGAGUCAAAGAAGGCAUUAUUAAUAAUUACUCCAGCAUAUCAAAAUACCACAUUAUACCCCAUAAAUAUAUACAAUUUGUCAACUAAAAAUAAUUUUUUUUUUUAAUUCAUGAAAAAGGGGAAUAAGAAGAAAAACAUUCCUCCAGAACUAGUCUGGGCAGAAGAGUUGUGGUAACUAGAUAUGAGGAGAAAGAGGAAGGAGGCACAGAGUAGUUGGAGCUUGCUGCCUGGAAGAAUGACUGUAUGAUAAGACAAAGAGGCGGGAUGAUGUGAAAUAAUUCACAUUGUUAAUUAUGAAGUGUGUUUUGAAUCAGCUCAACGUUAUCCAUAAAUGACACUCAGAAAGAUACUGUGUUCAGAUAGGGGACAAUGUGUUUUUGCAGUGAUAGCAGUGGAAGGGAAUGGUCAGCUUAAGGGGCAGUUGGUAAUUGUGUCAUCAUCAAAUGAAUUAGUAGCAAGACUUGACCAGCAUUCAUGAAUAAUGAAGCUUUUCUUGCUGACAGACUGCUGAUGUUUACAUUGAGCCAUUAUAAUAGGCAAUUUUAUGUCAUUAAUGACCUUUAUAUCAAAAAUAACUCAUGUGAAUGAAUGAAUGAAUGUAGUGAACAUUAAGUACUGCUAAUAGAAAAAAAAAAAGGCAAGGCUUCUUUAAUCUACAAAAUUGGCAGAAUGAUCAUCAGUAUUUCUGCCUGUUCUUUACCUCAGUUACACACAUCUUUAUUUAUUAUUUAUUUAUUUAUUUAUUUUAUUUUAUUUUAUUUUUACAGACAAGGUCUGACUAUGUCACCCAGGCUGGACUUGAACUCCUCAGUACAAGUGAUCCUCCUGCCUGAGCCUCCUCAAUAGCUGGGACUACAGGCUUGCACCACCAUGCCCUGCUCUAGUUACACAAAUCUUAAUAUGAUGCUGUUAAUUCAAUGAAGAAACUAAACUAGUUCUAUGAUCCAAGCACAUGGUUGUGACUCAAUUCAUGUUGUUUUAAUCCUGAAAUGAUAUUGUAAAGGAAGAGCUUUGCCUUAAAGUUUUUGUUUCUCAUCUUUUACAUUUGAGGUAAGAAGGCAAGUGGCAGGGAAGAAUGAUUAGCAAUAAACCUUUUUAAAAGUUAUUCAGAAGCCGUAGACAAUUGGUUGAGUCAAACUGACCUAUAAUGACUAUUCCCAGGAAUUUCCUAAUUCUCAUUCCUUUGGAAGGAAUUGUAACUGCCUUAUGCCACGUACAGAAUGCUGCUAUUUCAAGUUUAUUACAAAGAUGUGCCUACAGAUAAGAAUCAAACUGGAGAACUUUAAAAAUGUUUUAACUUUACCUGAUCUUUUUCUCAGAAAGCUAACUGUAAGUAGGAUAUGGUGCCAAGAAAAAUCAUCAGCCUGAUACCAUGAAAAAGACACCCUAUUAAUAUGCCCACAACAUUAUCAGCAAGCUAAGUAACAUCCCUGGACCUUAGUUUCAUUGUAUUUUUAACUAAAAUAUAUAUCAGAGCCCUUAACACAAGCCCGAUAUAUUUUGGAACCUCAAUAAAUAGUGAUUUUACUGAUUGUCUUUUUAACAAUUUCUAAAAUAUUGAAUACUGGUUAUUAUAAUUAAAUGUAUUCUGAACAUCUCUUUCUGUCUCAUGCCUCGAUCUAGUCUGUUCCUUUCAGCUAGAAUGCCUUUUCCUUCCUUUUCUCACAUAGCAAUCUUUGACAUAUCCUUGAAGACUGAGCUCUCCCAUCACCCUGGGAGGUCUGGCCUGGUCCGGAAGACCAUUCAGCACAUCUUUCUCUGUUGCCUAGUGUGGGAUUUUUGUCUGUUUUCAGCAGGUUGUUGCAGACUACAAGCCUCUGGAGGGCAGUGACUCGAUUCCAUUCAGCUCCAUAUCCCGACUACCAGCAUGGCAUGCAUUGGGGGUGUCCAUGAAUACAUAUACAGAACAGAAACUUUCAGGACAUAUAAGAAAUGUACUUCAGAGGCAUUUGUUAGUCGUCUGUUUCCUCACAGUGUAAGACUGUUACGCAUAUAAAUGCAUGAGCCCCCAUGGGCUGAAAGCAGUCCUACCCUCCUUCUUGGCUAAAUGGAAAUGCAAGUGAACUAUACAGCAUUCGAUGGACCAAUCAACAGGGCAAAAAUCAAUGUUCUGUUAUCUGGAAGAGGCUCUGAGGACCAAUGUUUCUCUCCAGGUUAUCUUACAAAAAAUGCUCCAGCAGUUCAUGUGCUUUAAAAAUAAAACAUCUAGACUCUGUGAUCUUGUGCACGUUGGUAAAUUUGUCUGAGACUCAAUUUCUUCAGCAGUAAGAUGGGGAUACCAGUAGGAACAACCUCACAGAGUUGAUGUGAGAGUUAAAUGAGUCAAUGAAUGCAAAGUGUUUGGCGCGGUGCAUGGCACCAAGUGACGGUAAAUGUUGAUGACAACGACUCCUCCCCCUCCUCCUCCUCGCACCAAAUGACAAUAAAUGUUGAUGAUUCCUCCCCCUCCCCCUCCCCCUUCCUCUCCUCCUUCCCCUUCUCCUUCUCCUCCUCCUUCUUUCUUCUUCCCAUUAUCACCACCACCACAGCCUUUGCAAUUUUUUGUUUUCUAUUUCCCACUAAGAUUCUAGUAUAUCCUUGCCUAGUUGGAGGAAGUGUUCUGAACUCUGACUCAUCUCUUCCUUGCUUAGAAUUCAAAGAAUUCUGUUAUAAUUUCACCUGGAAUCUCCAUGGGUGACUAUUGCUUUUUAUUGAAAUAGAAUAAAUUCGAGUGACCUACCAGCUCCUGGGCACACAGAGAACUGUGCUUUAGAGAAAACAACAAUAUCAACCUUAAGAGGAAAAAUGGCACUAAAUUAGAAUGUGGUUUUGGUUAUACAAUUUCUGCAAAAUUGAAUCUUGAGUCUCUAGUCAUCAAGGUGAAAAGUGGCUUUCCAAAAAGGAGAGGGAGUAGGUGGUGGUGCUGUGAGGAGAUAAUAAUGACCUUGCCCUUGGGCCCAUCUCUGCAGGGGAGGUGGUGUAGGCUGGCGGUGAUGGGUCCAGGGUUUCAGCUGGAUGCGGUUUUUAAUCUUUUCUUGAUCUUGUUGUAUAAUUUGGAGCAAAUUAGUCUGCCACCUCUCUUAGCUUCUCUUUUCUGCUUCACGACAUCUACUUCAUAUGAGGAUUAAAUGAGGUCAUACAA